rnacentral:snRNA from 1 species
AAAAAGGGGGGGGGGGGGUUUUUUUUUUUUUUGGGGGGGGGGGCCCCCCCCCCCCAAAAAAAAAAAAUUUUUUUUUUUGGGGGGGGGGGGGUUUUUUUUUUUCUCCCCCGGCGGAAAAAAAAUUGUUUCCCCCCCCCCCCCCAUUUUUUUUUUUUUUUGUGGGAAAAAAAAAAAUUUUUUUUUUUUUUGGG